rnacentral:rRNA from 1 species
UGAGUAAUCUGCCCUUCACUCUGGGAUAAGCUUCGGAAACGGGGUCUAAUACCGGAUACGACCAGCCUCUGCAUGGGGUGUUGGUGGAAACUUUGUGGGUGGGGGAUGUGCUCGCGGCCUAUCAGCUUGUUGGUGGGGUAAUGGCCUAUCAAGGCUUCGACGGGUAGCCGGCCUGAGAGGGUGACCGGCCACACUGGGACUGAGACACGGCCCAGACUCCUACGGGAG